UCAAACCACAAUUUCUUCUCUCUCUUUCUAACUCACACACAUUCAAACAUGUUCAUCUUCUUCUCUCUCUUUCUCAAUCGCACGCAACAUCAUGGUUUCCAGAUAAUUUUCAUAUUCUUCUCACUCAUACAUAACACCAUGGCGAAGAGUUCAUCUUCUUCUCAAGCAAAGAGUUCAUCUUCUUCUUAUAUUUUCUUUUAUCUAUGUGAUUUUUGUGUUGAUGCUAACUUUUUUUUUCUUUAAAUGCUUGAAAUGAAGAGAUUGAAGACAUGCAAGAGUCUUAAAGAAACAUCAGACAUUUUCUGGGUUCUUUCUUUGUUCUUGAUGAUUUUUGAGUUUUUUCUCUGAGAUCUACUUAUUUUGGUUGGGUGAAUGUUUUCAGAUCUACUUUUCUCUGUUGACCAAAUGUGUUGGAUCGAGGUUUUUGUCUCAGAUCUACUGUUGUAUGGAUUUGUUCUUCUCAAAUCUACUUUUGUUUUGGUUGAUUUUUUCCUCUGAUAUUCUUGAGCACAUUCACGAGACUUAAAAAAAGGUAACCACUUUUCAUUUUAUUGUUCUUCUACCAGUUCUCAGAUCUACUUUUCUUUUAAUACGAGAUGUGUUAGAUUUAGGUUUUUCUCUAAGAUCUACUUCUCUUUUGAAUGGUUUCUUUGCUCUCAGAUUUUCUUUUCCAUGUAUAUUGUUCGAUGGAUUUUUUCUUCUCAGAUCUACCUUUAUUUUGGUUGAUGUUUUGCUCUGAGAACCUUGAGCAAGUUGACGAAUACAAAAAAGUAACAAGAAUUCUGUUUUUUUUUUUGUUCUUCUACCAUCUUUGACUUUUUCUCUCAGAUCUAUUUCUCUUUUGAAUGGUUUCUUUGCUCUCAGAUUUUCUUUUCCAUGUAUAUUGUUCAAUGGAUUUUUUCUUCUCAGAUCUACCUUUAUUUUGGUUUAUGUUUUGCUUUGAGAACCUUGAGCAACAUGACGAAUACAAAAAAGGUAACAAAAAUUCUAUUUUUUUUCGUUCUUCUACCAUCUUCUCAGAUCUACUUUGUUUUCUAUUAUUUUUAUUUUUGUUUCUCAUCGAUAUUUUUCUCUAAGAUCUACUUAUUUUUGUUCGGUGAAUCAAAUAUUUGGAAAACACAAUAAAGGUUGAAUCUUUGAACCUUUCACUCUUUGACUACGACAAUAAAGGUACAAAAGUUUUAUACUGUGUGGAAUCCUUUCUUCUUCUGUAAGAUUUGAAUGAUUUUUUAUUUUAUAAACGGAUGAAUGUAUAUUUUUUGCGAGGUGGAUCAAAUCAAAUAUUUGAAGAACAUAGUAAAGGUUGAAUCUUUCAACCUUUCACUCUUUGACGAUGAAAAUAAAGAUUUAAGUACUUCUGCAUGUCUUUUUUUGUUGUGAUGAAUGAAGUUUUUAUUGGAGAUGGAUGACAUGUUUGAAGAAGAUAACAAAGAUCAAUGAAUUGCUCGAAGAAGACAAUAAAGGUACAAUUUUUUCGUCUUCCAUACAAAGGUAAGAUCUUUGAAGAACACCAGAAAGGUACAAGCUUUUUAUCUUUCAACUUCUGUCGAAUCUUUUCUUCUUCUACUAAAUAUAAUUCCCUUUUUUUUAGAUGAAUGAUUUGUUUGAAGAAUACAGGUUGGUUUUUUCGCAAUAAAAAAGACUUAGUGAGGUAUUUUCGCAGCAGUCGACUUUCAACUAUUGUGUUCCAUGGACCACUAGACCAAGUCCAAUGCAAUUUUGUGAUAACAACAACGUCUGUGAAGAUAGGUCACGACUAGAAAAAGUUUUGUGCCUUUGACUCACUAAAGGAGAAGGGUUAUGUUAUUUUCGAAGUUGAGAGUGAAAAAACAAGCAUGCAUGUAAAAGUUCUUUAUAAUCUACCAUUGUUUUAAUAUAUGUAGUUUACUAUCUUCUAAAAAA